UACGGGGGGGGCAAGCGUUGUUCGGAAUUACUGGGCGUAAAGGGCUCGUAGGCGGCCAACUAAGUCAGACGUGAAAUCCCUCGGCUUAACCGGGGAACUGCGUCUGAUACUGGAUGGCUUGAGUUUGGGAGAGGGAUGCGGAAUUCCAGGUGUAGCGGUGAAAUGCGUAGAUAUCUGGAGGAACACCGGUGGCGAAGGCGGCAUCCUGGACCAAUACUGACGCUGAGGAGCGAAAGCGUGGGGAGCGAACAGG
rnacentral:rRNA from 1 species